rnacentral:lncRNA from 1 species
UUUGGUACCAGGGAUUGGACGCUAACCCCCUGAGCCACAUCCCCAGCCCGUUUUUGUAUUUUACUAGAGACAGGGUCUCACUGAGUUGCUUAGGGCCUUGCUAAUUUGCUGAGGCUGGCUUUGAACUCACGAUUUUGCCUCAGCCUCCUGAGUUGCUGGGAUUACAGGUGUGGGCCACUGUGCCCGGCAAGAAGCGUAUCUCUUGGAGGUCCUUGCUCCUUAAUGGUGUCUGACUGCCCUCAUUGGCUGAGACAGCCACCCCAGCCCCAGAUUGCCAAAGACCAGCACACUCCUAAGAAGAGUGGACCUGGUUGGUCUCAUAUCCCCACCAGGCAAACUGGUGGCUGGUUUUAGGAGUCAAGAUAAUUAUUAAUGCAACUAAUAACCAAGGGGAGAAAAGCACAAACUAAUCUCUCUAAAAUCUGUCUCCAUGACUUCAGUUCUUCUGUAGUGGGGUUAAAGAUGGUAUCAGAGCUGGGUCUGGUGGUGCACACCUGUCAUCCCAGAAACUCAGGAGGCUGAGGCGGGAGGAGCAUAAGUUUAAACCAGCCUCAGCUACUUACUGAGACUCUAUCUCAACAUAAAAAUAAAAACGAUAUAUUAGAAUUUUUUCUCUAUCCAUGGGACACUUGCCUGAUAGAAUCUUUUCUUUUUCUCAGUGCUGGGGAUUGAACCCAAGGCAUUGCACAUACCAGGCAAGUGAUCUACCAUUGAGCUACACCCCCAGCCCUCCAGUCCUCUUUUCUUUCAAACAAAACUUUAAUCAAUCUGCUUAAAAAUAAUAAUAGCUGACAUGAACUGAGCACUUCCUGUGUGCGCCCAUAUGACAAGCAUUAGUUCAUUGGAGCCUCUUAACCCAGGGCGACCUCAGAGGAUUGUUUCGCCUGUUAACAAGAUGAUCAGAUUCAGUGAGAUGAUCCAGCUUAGACGCACAGUACGAUGGCUUAAUUAGGGCCAAUAAAUACACUGCGUGAAAAUAUCACAGCUGAAUAGUUGCUUGUUGCUUUUUUGUGAAGCGUAAUAAUAGUAUUAGCAACUGACAUAAUUUGGUGCUUAAUAUUAAAUUAAUAUCGCUCUUACUUAUGAGCCCCCACAGGCUUUUCAUAAGCACUUUAUAAAUAAAUAUUGAUUUGCUUUAUCCUCACUAUUGCCCUAUAAAGUUGGCACUUUUUUUUUUUUUGGUGCUGGGGAUUGGAUUCAAGGGUACUUAACCACUGAGCCAUAUCCUCAGUCCUUUUUAGUUUUUAUUUAGAGGCAGAGUCUCACUGAGUUGUUCACAGCCUUGCUAAAUUGCUGAGGCUGGCUUUGAACCUGUGAUCGUCCUGCCUCAGCCUCCCGAGACACUGGGAUUACAGGCAUGUGUCACCGCGCCCAGCAGAAGUCAGCACUUUUAACAUCCCAUUUUCAGAAGAGGAAACAGGUAAAGAGAGGAGGUUAAGCAACUUGCCCGUGAUCCUAUAACUAGCUGGAAGCUUAGCUGGGACUUGGACCCAGGCAGGAUGGGUGGGCGACUCUGUGCUUUCCCUACUAGAGGGAUCUGCCUCAGGGUAUGAAGUGAGUUUUGACUAGACCUUGAGCUAGUCACUGAGUUCUGGUUAAAUAAAUGUGUCCCACCUGGUUACACAUGUGCGACAUCAGUUCCCUCAUCCGCGAAAUGGUUUUGCUUGUAUUUUUGUGGGGUUUUGUUUUGUUUCGUUGUUGGCAGGCAUGAGGAUAGAACCCAGGGCCUGACACAUGCCAAGCAAGCGCUCAACCACUGAGCUGCACGCCAGCCCAUUCGUCCGUUUAACAUUCUCUUUAUUGAAUACUUAGUAUGCAUCAGGCACUGUUGUAGGCACUGUGGUAUGCCACGUGCAAAAGAAACAAUUUCUGCCCUCAUGAUGAUUACGAUGUGGUAGGAAAGACAGAUAUCAAAGAGGACUAAUAAGUUAAUUGCAUAGUUAAUCGUGUUUUCUGUUAGAAGGUGAUAGGUGCAUUAGAGAAGUGUUAAGUGAGGAGAAGGGAAGGGGCGUAGGUAAUGGUGGUGACGCCCUGAAAUUGUAAAUAAGGUUGUCAUGGAAGGCCCCGUGGAAAAGCUGACAUUUGAGCAAAGACCUAAAGCAUAUUUGGAAGUAAGCAAAGAAAUCGUCUGCAUCCAGUUGGAGGGGACAGCCAGGGUGAAGGCCCAGAGGCACCGAGCCCCAGAGGCACGGAGGCCAGUGUGGCUGGGGCAGAGUGACUGAGAGGGAGAUGAGAAUAGAGAGGAUGAAGCAGAUCACAAGGGCCUCGUGCACCCCGGGAAGGACUGAGCUUUCACCGAGAGUGGGAUGGAAUCACAGGAGAGCUCCAAGGAGGGCAGGGCACUACCUGUGACUUGGAUGCUUGUGAGGAGCGACCAUGGAGGAGAGAAGCAAGGGGGAGAGGGAUGGCAAGGAUUGACAGAGAAGAGUUUCAGAGGCCCAGCUCCAACUCUGCGAGAUCAGAGAGAAGAGGAAGAGCCAGCCAGGGAGACUGACAAGAAGCCACUGGAGAGGACAGGAGUCCAGAGGGGAGGUGGGGUGAAUAAUCAGCAGAUGCUGCUGAGGUCAAGCAAGGCCACCAAGGGACAGUAACUAGGCCUCUCAUCCUGGAGGUCGCUGUUACCUCAACAUCUCAGCACAGGGCAGGGAGCAAGGCCCGACUAGAAAAGGUUGGCAAGAGAAUGAAAGCUGAAGAUGUGAGGUGGUGAGUCUAGACAAUUGUUUUGAGAAGGUUUUUGUUUGUUGAAGAUGGAGCCUGGGGCCUUGCACAUGCUAGGAGAGCGCUCUACCAAGCUGGUUCCCCUGUUUUCUUUCUUUUUUUUUUUUUGGUAUUGGGGAUUGAACCCAGAGGCUCUCAACCACUGAGCCAGUCCCCAGCCCUUUUUAUUUAUUUAUCUUGCUGAGUUGCUUAAGGGCCUCGCUAAAUUGCUGGAGUUACAGGUGUGGGCCACGGCACCGGCUUUUUCUUUUUUUUUUGAGACUGGGCCUCUCACUAAGU